rnacentral:rRNA from 1 species
UACGUAGGGUGCAAGCGUUGUCCGGAAUUAUUGGGCGUAAAGAGCUCGUAGGCGGUUUGUUGCGUCGGCUGUGAAAUCCCGAGGCUCAACCUCGGGUCUGCAGUCGAUACGAGCAAACUAGAGUGUUGCAGGGGAGACUGGAAUUCCUGGUGUAGCGGUGAAAUGCGCAGAUAUCAGGAGGAACACCGGUGGCGAAGGCGGGUCUCUGGGCCGAUACUGACGCUGGAGGAGCGAAAGCGUGGGGAGUGAACAGG